rnacentral:tRNA from 1 species
GGGCCGUUGGAGCAGCGGGUAGCUCACCUCGUUCUCAGCGAGGAGGUGGCCGGUUCGAGACCGGCACGGCCCA